CACUUUAUUUGAUUUCCUUCGGGUGGAUUUAGAAGUGACUGAGUGGCGGACGGGUGAGUAACGCGUGGGUAACCUGCCUUGUACUGGGGGACAACAGUUGGAAACGACUGCUAAUACCGCAUAAGACCACAGCACCGCAUGGUGCGGGGGUAAAAACUCCGGUGGUAUGAGAUGGACCCGCGUCUGAUUAGCUAGUUGGUAAGGUAACGGCUUACCAAGGCGACGAUCAGUAGCCGGACUGAGAGGUUGAACGGCCACAUUGGGACUGAGAUACGGCCCAGACUCC
rnacentral:rRNA from 1 species